AUGACUAUCCUUUUUGUUCUGCUUCUGCUGUUGAUGAUUAAAAAGGAGACAUUUGCACAGUCAAUAACACCACAGGAAAGCAAGGCACUUAAAUAUGAGGGAGAAAAAGUCACUCUGUCCUGUAAAUAUGAUGGAGCUGUUAAUAACUUGCACUGGUAUCGUCAGUAUUCGGGAUCCAAACCGGAGUUCCUUGCAUAUAUUUAUCCAAAUGGAGACACAAGUAACCCUCUUCCUGAUCGUCUCAUACCUAAAGUUGAUAAAAACAAGAAUCUUGUGAGCCUGGAGAUCUCUGAUGCUGAAGUAACAGAUUCUGCGCUGUACUACUGUGCACUGUCGCCCACAAUGACAGGAAACUCAACUACACUGUACAAAAACCUCCUGAACAAUAAAACUCAUAAACUAUGUAAAUGUUUCAGAAAUAUCUUUUCAGAGAAUAUAACAGAGCAGUUCAGACAUGUAGAAAUAAAAGAAGUAGCAAUGCAUCAAAGCAUUACUACAAAGAAAUGCAUCUAUAAAUGCAUAGAAUUGAUAAUAUAG